rnacentral:misc_RNA from 1 species
UCUCCUCGCUUGGAUGCUGCUUCUCCUCGCGAGAAUCUGCUGGAGAAGAGAAAAAAAAGAAAAAAGAGGACGAAGGAGAAGAUGAGAGAAAGAGGGGGGAGAAGAGAAGACGGAGGCGGAGAGAGGGGUUUAGGCGGGGAGAGAGAAGGGAGGAGAAGAGACAAUGGAGAAGAGAAGAGGAGGAGGACGGGAAGGGGAGAAAGACGGCGAGAGGGAGGAGGAACGAAGGGAGAGAGAGAAGAAGAGGGGGUCCCCAAAAGAAUGUAGGGAGAG